rnacentral:rRNA from 1 species
GACGUAGGGGGCGAGCGUUGUCCGGAUUUAUUGGGCGUAAAGGGCUCGUAGGUGGCCAACUAAGUCAGACGUGAAAUCCCUCGGCUUAACCGGGGAACUGCGUCUGAUACUGGAUGGCUUGAGUUUGGGAGAGGGACGCGGAAUUCCUGGUGUAGCGGUGAAAUGCGCAGAUAUCAGGAGGAACACCGGUGGCGAAGGCGGGUCUCUGGGCAACAACUGACGCUGAGGAGCGAAAGCGUGGGGAGCGAACAGG